CAGAGUUCUGCUACCUCACAGGUCUGACAGAUAAGAUGCGUGCUGAUUUCAACAUCAUGAAGGAUCUUGCCUCACACACAAGGCUGAGUCCUGAACAGAGAGAGAGCAGAAUUAACCGCUUAAUCUCCAACAUCGACAGGUUCCGACGGAAUGUAUCACAUUUGCACCUGCUUUUGAAUCUUGAGAACUCACUUGCACGCUCUCAUCUGUGCACAGAUCGCGACAAGGAGAGUGACAGUUUUAAAUAAUUAUUAAGGGAGUUUGCAAAAGUGAUAUUGAUUUAAUACAACAGAUCAAUAAACAAGUACUGCAUUUUUGCUCUAUAUCAUCAACGAAAAUAGUUCUAAAUAAAGUAACAGCUGAGCCGCUGUGCAUCUCUAAAAGCAAAUGCAGGGGCUACUGUAUAAUUUCAGUUAUUUAAAUAAUUUAAUAGUUAUGUAUUCAAAAUUGUAUAUUUAACCUCUUAACUGUCACCAUCCACCCUGUGGGACGCCUACGUUUACUUCACUAUUUUACAAUUAAAUCCUAAUCUAAUCAUGACAAACUAUAUAUCGUUGGAAAGGUCUAAGACUCCUAAAUAGGUAUUUUACCACUUUUUUUGUAAAAAAAUUAUGUAGGAAAAGUAAUAGAUUAAUUUAUGACAAGAGUGCACCUGAAAAAUCUACAUCAUAACAGGAGUUCUGACCUUUGUCACAGAAAGUCUUCUUAUUUGCCUUUUUCUCUAUCACGCUUUAGAAAUCAUAAGAAAUUAUAUAUCAGUUGAAAACUUAAAAUCUCAAAAUUCAUCCUUUGAAACCCAUUUUAAAAUCAGACAUUGCAUUACCAUGGAAAUGGUACAUCAAAAUCACGUUGGAAAAUGUUUUCAUUCAUGAAUUAUAAAAAAAUAAGUUUGGAUAGUGCACUAUCAUGUCUGUGUUCAAAACCGUGAGUGACAGUUAAGGGGUUAAAACAUUAAUCUCCACAUGAAUUUAUGAAUUUAAUUGCACUCAUGCUACCUCUGAGCCUCGUUAAAUGUCUGAAAACGCCACCUCUGUAGUACAAAUUAAUUUCUUAUUAAUAGUAAUUUCAUAUAAUUGGUAACUUAUUUGUCUUAUUCUACAUCUUAUUAAUAAUUAAAAAAAAAAAAAAUUAAAAAAAGCUUAUUAACCAUAAUUUUUUUAAUUUGACAGAUGAAAAUGAUGCCAUUGCAAAAAAGAAAAUGCCCUGUAAAUCACUUUGAGUCAAAUGUCACCUCGAAUUAGGAAGGUAUUUAUAUUAAUUAUUUAUAUUAUAUUAUAUUAGAUUAUUGUUCAGAAGCUGCUCCUAAUUAAAUUAGGAGGACAAAGCUCCUAAAAAGAAAAGAAAGCAUAGAGCCAUGAGUAACAUAUUAGAUCCAUACAUGAGGUCUUAAAGAGACAGCAGCCUAAAUAAACCUGCUGCUGUCUUUCAUUAUACAGUGAAGACUAUCCAGUGUUAUUUUACAGUUGAAUAGAUUAUAGUUAGACCUAACUGAAAAAAUGUAAGUACUGAUAAUUUAAUUUGUAUCUUAUUAUUUUUGUUUGUGCUAUUGAUUGUCAUUAAUUUAUUUGUUCUUAUAUUAUUAUUUACUAAAUUAUUCAAAGACACACUUGUUUUUUUAGUUAAAAUAAAUUUGAUUCUGAGUGCAGGUGAUUCUUGGGUGGGGAGGGGAUGUGGUCCAUGGGAAAUGGUCCUUCCACCACAGCUGGAAAAAAUCCUAGAGGAAACACUGCAUACAUUUAAUAAAAUUAGAAAAAUGCAUGUACAAAAGUAAAAAGAAAACUCCCCUGUUAAUCACUUUGUCAAAUGUCACCUCGUAUUAAGAAGGCUAAUUUUUGAUCAAUUUUUUAUUAUUGAUUAGAAGGAGCUCCUAAAUUUUUUAACCCUUUAGGCGCCAGGGUUUUUUUUUUUUUUUGGAAAAAUGCUGAAUUUUGACAUCAAGAUUUCAAAAACUUGUGGCUUGAAAGGGCUUAAAGAUAGAGAUCUACUGUAAAUUAGAAAAAUGUUGGGCAUGACCUAAAGUUUAUGUGGGGUGUAAAUACAGUCAUCUAAUUUGCAUAUUAUGAUGUCAUCAGGGGGCGGCCCUCUUCAAUUUCAUAAUAUUCAGGAAAUAGUAGAUAUUGAAUUGAUAUUUGAACUUAUUUGCAUGUUUUUUUUUUUUUGUUUGUUUGUUUUUUUUGUCUUUUUACUCUCAUUCCAAACGAUCAGAAAACAGGAAACCAACAAUAAAACAGGAUGAAUUACUAAAUUAUUACUAUAUUACUACACUAUAUAGUAGUAAAACACAUGUGAACAGUAGCCUACUUUUUGAUCAGUUCAUCAGUAAUAUUCAGGAAAUAAUAGAUAUUGAAUGGAUGUUUGAACUUAUUUGCAUGUUUUUUUUUUUUUUUUUGUCUUUUUAUCCUCAUUCCAAAUGAUCAGGAAAAGAGGAAAUCAACAGUAAAACAGGAGAAAGUAGUAAAUUACUACAUUACUGUGCCAUAGUAAAAUACAUGUACCUAUUUUUUGAUCAGCUGACCAGCUAUCUGCCCAAUCAGGUACGUAGGUGACAGUUUAUAGUUCUUGAGAGUAUGGUACCUCUCAUUGCAUGGCACAGCGCACAGACCUACCCCUCACUGACUGCAACUGUACUGUCUGCCAGCGGCCCUUUGAGUGCGCGCGAUCAGAAAAAAAGACGCAAUCUGGCUGAUCAUCAGCAACUCGAUGCCUCUCCUAUGGACACUACGACCACGUCCAUCCCUGCCACCCCCAUCCCUGUUGGGCAAAGGCUCGAAAUCAUCCCUUGAUGGUGCUUCAUGAACACUCGCCUUUUACUGCGGCGCCAUUGCGCAUGCAAAGAUGUAUCGGGAGAUGCGCGAUCAUUAGACGGCCGAUCGUGAUUUCCAAAAGGCAAAUAUUCCCCUUCAGAGUCAGAAUCGGCGAAUAACAUUUGCAACACAUCCUCAUGGUACAACUUUUUAUUAGCCAUUUGGCGAUUUUUCUCUCACAAAUCUCACAAUUUACUCAGAUGUUAUGAACUGAACUGCUUCCACAUCAAUGACAAGAUAGCUCACUUGCUCUGCUAUUUCCUCAAACAAUUUUGGUCUAGAAUCGAAGUACUACAUGUCUGCCAUCUAGUGGUAGGGAAUACAAAUGAGAUAUUACACCAUAUUAGGAACUACAGUCUAUUUAAUGAAGUAUGACAUCUUGUCGCAAUUUUGCGACUUUGGCGUUUAGAGGGUUAAAUUAGGAGGACAAGCGCUCCUAAUUACAAGAAGAAAAACACGGCUCUUAAACUGGGUGUGU